UUGACCCCUUCAGUGACGAAGCUAACGCGUUAAGUAUCCCGCCUGGGGAGUACGGUCGCAAGAUUAAAACUCAAAGAAAUUGACGGGGGCCCGCACAAGCGGUGGAGCGUGUGGUUUAAUUCGAUGCAACGCGAAGAACCUUACCUAGGCUUGACAUGUACUGGAAGAUUGGCAGAAAUGUCGUCGCCCGCAAGGGUCGGUACACAGGUGCUGCAUGGUUGUCGUCAGCUCGUGUCGUGAGAUGUUGGGUUAAGUCCCGCAACGAGCGCAACCCCUGCAUUUAGUUGCCAGCAUUCAGUUGGGCACUCUAGAUGGACUGCCGGUGUUAAACCGGAGGAAGGUGGGGAUGACGUCAAGUCCUCAUGGCCCUUAUGCCUAGGGCUACACACGUGCUACAAUGGUAGUCACAGAGCGAAGCUAAGCCGCGAGGUAGAGCAAAUCGCUUAAAAGCUAUCUAAGUUCAGAUUGAUCUCUGCAACUCGAGAUCAUGAAGUUGGAAUCGCUAGUAAUCGCGGAUCAGAAUGCCGCGGUGAAUACGUUCCCGGGCCUUGUACACACCGCCCGUCACACCAUGAAAGUCGGCUGUACCAGAAGUCGCUGCGCUAACCGCAAGGAGGCAGGCGCCCAAGGUAUGGUCGAUGAUUGGGGUGAAGUCGUAACAAGGUAGCCGUAGGGGAACCUGCGGCUGGAUCACCUCCUUUCUAAGGA
rnacentral:rRNA from 2 species